UGCACGUAAGAAUACAACCAGCCCACCUCACCAUCGAUGCUUCACGUUUCUGCACACGACAGCCAAACGAGCCGGCCCGCAAAAUCACAACCGUCCAUCAAGUAUGCCUCGUGGUCUUCUGUGUCGUUCGUACCCACCCCUCGGGUUGCAAUUUCCCACGCCGCUAUUGUGCCCAUGAGCUUCUCAUCUCCAUCGAUCGAUACCGAUGGAGAAGAACCCGACCACGAUUGGGACCGACACAAAGUUCGAUCCCUACAAGAGAUUAGGAGGUUUCUUGUUGGAUUCUUUUCUUUCUGAAGGAUGGACAAGAUUUAGUGAUGCAGCGUAGUCUUUUGAUUGGAUGAUUCUUGAUUGCCCUCCUGCUGCUGAGGUGGACAAUAUGCAAGCUGAGGUACUCGUCGAGCUAAACGAGUGGAAAUGAAAUGAAAGAUGAUAUUAGGUGAAAUCCUGCAAAACAUAAGACUCUGGGAAUGGGAACGUGCCCGAUGGGCUUCUCUUCAAAUACAUUCACUCCAAAGUGAAGAAUUUAAGAACAUAGCAGUGAGAAGGGUUUAAUAUUUUUCAAGAUUCUCUCUUUUACAAUGUAAAAUUCUCGUAAAGACUUGGACAUUGUUAGCCGUGCCAGGUUGUUGUUGUUGUUGUAUUAAGAUUUUGUAGUUGAUGAAGGCGAAACGUUUUAACCAUUUUGAUGAUUAGUAGACUUAUUACCUGCUACAACUGUAUUAACGAUGCGUCUACUUGUUAGAGUGUAGUUGUUAUCUGAUUAAAGCAGUUUAGGGGCUUACUGAGAUGUCAUACUAAUUGUCUCUUGAUUACUUGCAACAUCUUUUCCUUCCUUUGAUGAUCCCCACCUUUUAGAAUAUAUGAUGUAUGGUGCUAAUAAUUAGUCUUAGUAGACAUAUCCACAAUUAUUUAAAUGGAUUAUUAUUAUUAUUAUUAUAUUAUUUUUGCUUCAUCUCGUUUCUUUGAAAUGUCAUAGGGCUUCAAUUUUAUUUUUGGCAAAGUUCAAUGGGCUUAACUUUGCAAUGAGUACAUAUCAUUAAGCCAUGCAGAUAUUCUCACAUCCCUUCUUCUUUCUGAUUUGUAAAAUAAUUAACAUUUUAUGUCUGCCUCUCUUGCUAUGCGAUCAAAUCUCAUUUCAUUGUUAAGUUGCAACUGCAAGUCUCCAGUAUCAGUAAUUUUUCUAGGUUAUAUGAGCAACAAUAAGCUGUGAUGUCCCAGCUAUAUAGGGUUGCCUACAUGGAACCUUUUUUGUCCGGCCAUUGAGCUUAAUUUUUAUCCAUUAUAUAUAUUCGAAGGGAGUCAUAUUUUCACUGUGUAUGUCCUUAGAUUGGCAAUCUGGAGUCUCCGAGCUUCUGCUUGGUCAUAAUUUUUUACCUUCCGGUGAAGUUGCUGCUUUCUUACCAUUAUCAUGUAUAAUAUGUUACCACAGCUAGUUAUUGUGUUUAUAAUUGCUUCUUUGUGUUGUCGCUGACACAAAUGACUAUUGUUUUGUUGAUGU